UGACAUAUUAGAGCGAUCGCGAGACUUAAAUAUUGGUGUUACUUUCCCGUCUUUCCAGAUCUUGGGGAAGAUAGAAGAUUUUAGUGAUUGAUUAAAUAUAUCAGUUAGGGUUGGGGCGAUAGUUACUGCAGCAUCUUUCAGCAGUCUGGCGCUGAUACCAUCAAGGCCGGUAGAUUUAUUAGUUUUAAGAGUUGAUAGUUGUUUGAAAACAGACGCAACAUCAA